rnacentral:rRNA from 1 species
ACCUGCGGAAGGAUCAUUAUUGAAUUAAUGUAGAGUUUGGGUUGUACUGGGCCCUCUAAUUAACUUGGGGGCACGUGCACACCUUUCUCUUUCACCCCAUACACUCCUGUGCACCUGUGAGUACAGAUGUUUUCCAGGGGGGGAAGGAACUUUAUUGGACCUCCUCUCUUUGGACUUUUGUCUACUUAAUCUAUAUAAAAUCAAUUUUUUUCAAAUGAAUGUAAGGGAUGUAACCCAUCAAAAUACUAAGUUUAAACACCGGAUCUAUGGUAAAUGGCAAAAUUCAAAAACGCAUCCGUCCUUUGACCCCCCAUGUGAAUUCUUGAAUUUAGAAUCCUGGAACCCGGCUCUUUGAACCGCCCCUGAAUUCCCUUGGUAAUCCUUGGAGCAUGCCUGUUGGUUUAUUUGAAAUCUGAAGGUUUUGAACCUUUUGUUAACUCAUUCGUUUCAACUUUGUUAUUGGAGGUCUAUUGCAGCUUCGCUCCCGCUCCCCUUGGUACUUUACCUGGAUUUAGGUGUCUUGCUAGGUUCCCCACAAAGUGAUAAGUAACCUUUCCUAAAGGACACCCAGUUAAAAAGGGGUGGCCAUAGGUAAAUGCAAAUGAACUGCUUGCUACCCCCCUUAGCUUUGGACAGAUUAUAAAUUUAAAGAAACUGAUCUCAAAUCAGGUAGGACUACCCGCUGAACUUAAGCAUAUCAAUAAGCGGAAGGAAA